rnacentral:rRNA from 1 species
GACGAACGCUGGCGGCGUGCUUAACACAUGCAAGUCGAACGAAGUGGCGAACGGGUGAGUAACGCGUAAUCAACCUGCCCUUCAGAGGGGGACAACAGUUGGAAACGACUGCUAAUACACAUCAUGAAGGAGGGGCUUGCGUCUGAUUAGCGAGUUGGAGGGGUAAAGGCACACCAAGGCGAUGAUCAGUGGCCGGUCUGAGAGGAUGAACGGCCACAUUGUGACGGAUACACUGCCAAGACGCCUACGGGAGGCAGCAGUGGGGAAUCUUCCGCAAUGGACGAAAGUCUGACGGUGCAACGCCGCGUGAGUGAUGACGGCCUUCGGGUUGUAAAGCUCUGUUAAUCGGGACGCGGUACCGGAAUAGAAAGCCACGGCUAACUACGUGCCAGCAGCCGCGGUAAUAC